rnacentral:rRNA from 1 species
GAUGAACGCUGGCGGCGUGCCUAAUACAUGCAAGUCGAGCGAACAGACUAGGAGCUUGCUCCUCUGACGUUAGCGGCGGACGGGUGAGUAACACGUGGAUAACCUACCUAUAAGACUGGGAUAACUUCGGGAAACCGGAGCUAAUACCGGAUAAUAUAUUGAACCGCAUGGUUCAAUAGUUAAAGACGGUUUUGCUGUCACUUAUAGAUGGAUCCGCGCCGCAUUAGCUAGUUGGUAAGGUAACGGCUUACCAAGGCAACGAUGCGUAGCCGACCUGAGAGGGUGAUCGGCCACACUGGAACUGAGACACGGUACAGAAUCCUACGGGAGGCAGAAGUAGGGAAUCUGCAGCAAUGGGCGAAAGCCUGACGGAGCAAAGCAGCGUGAGUGAUGAAGGUCUUCGGAUAGUAAAACUCUGUUAUUAGGGAAGAACAAAUGUGUAAGUAACUAUGCAAGUCUUGAAGGUACCUAAUCAGAAAGCCAAGGCUAACUAAGUG